rnacentral:rRNA from 1 species
UACGGGAGGCAGCAGUGGGGAAUAUUGCACAAUGGGCGCAAGCCUGAUGCAGCCAUGCCGCGUGUAUGAAGAAGGCCUUCGGGUUGUAAAGUACUUUCAGUCGUGAGGAAGGUGUUAAGGUUAAUAACCUUAGCAAUUGACGUUAGCGACAGAAGAAGCACCGGCUAACUCCGUGCCAGCAGCCGCGGUAAUACGGAGGGUGCGAGCGUUAAUCGGAAUUACUGGGCGUAAAGGGCACGCAGGCGGUUAAUUAAGUUGGAUGUGAAAUCCCCGGGCUUAACCUGGGAAUGGCAUUCAAGACUGGUUAGCUAGAGUCUUGUAGAGGGGGUAGAAUUCCAUGUGUAGCGGUGAAAUGCGUAGAGAUGUGGAGGAAUACCGGUGGCGAAGGCGGCCCCUGGACAAAGACUGACGCUCAUGUGCGAAAGCGUGGGGAGCGAAACAGGGAUUAGAUA